UCAGUUACAGAGAGACCGUACCGCAAACCGACACAGGUGGGCAGGAUGAGAAUUCUAAGGCGCUUGAGAGAACUCAGGAGAAGGAACUCGGCAAAUUUGCACCGUAACUUCGGGAUAAGGUGCGCCCUGAUAGGUUGAAGCCCCUCGCGGGUGUAGGCUGAAAGGGUUGCAGUGAAAUGGUGGCUGCGACUGUUUAAUAAGAACACAGCACUCUGCAAACACGAAAGUGGACGUAUAGGGUGUGACGCCUGCCCGGUGCCGGAAGGUUAAGUGAUGGGGUGCAAGCUCUUGAUCGAAGCCCCGGUAAACGGCGGCCGUAACAAUAACGGUCCUAAGGUAGCGAAAUUCCUUGUCGGGUAAGUUCCGACCUGCACGAAUGGCGUAACGAUGGCCACACUGUCUCCUCCUGAGACUCAGCGAAGUUGAAAUGAUUGUGAAGAUGCAAUCUCCCCGCGGUUAGACGGAAAGACCCCAUGAACCUUUACUGUAGCUUUGCAUUGGACUUUGAACCAAUCUGUGUAGGAUAGGUGGGAGGCUGUGAAACUGGGACGCUAGUUCUGGUGGAGCCAACCUUGAAAUACCACCCUGGUUUGUUUGAGGUUCUAACCAUGGCCCGUGAAUCCGGGUCUGGGACCGUGCAUGGUAGGCAGUUUGACUGGGGCGGUCUCCUCCUAAAGUGUAACGGAGGAGUACGAAGGUACGCUAGGUACGGUCGGACAUCGUGCUGAUAGUGCAAUGGCAUAAGCGUGCUUGACUGCGAGACUCACACGUCGAGCAGGUACGAAAGUAGGUCAUAGUGAUCCGGUGGUUCUGUAUGGAAGGGCCAUCGCUCAACGGAUAAAAGGUACUCUGGGGAUAACAGGCUAAUACCGCCCAAGAGUUCAUAUCGACGGCGGUGUUUGGCACCUCGAUGUCGGCUCAUCACAUCCUGGGGCUGUAGUCGGUCCCAAGGGUAUGGCUGUUCGCCAUUUAAAGUGGUACGUGAGCUGGGUUUAAAACGUCGUGAGACAGUUUGGUCCCUAUCUGCCGUGGGCGCUGGAAAUUUGAAGGGGGCUGCUCCUAGUACGAGAGGACCGGAGUGGACGAACCUCUGGUGUACCGGUUAUGACGCCAGUCGUAUUGCCGGGUAGCUAAGUUCGGAAGAGAUAAACGCUGAAAGCAUCUAAGCGUGAAACUCGCCUUAAGAUAAGAUUUCCCUGGGGACUUGAUCCCCCUGAAGGGUCGUGGUAGACCACCACGUUGAUAGGCUGGGUGUGGAAGCGCAGCAAUGCGUUAAGCUAACCAGUACUAAUUGCCCGUGAGGCUUGAUCCU
rnacentral:rRNA from 1 species